UCUAAGGACCCCCAACCCGAGGACGAGGGGACGUCGCAGCUGUUUGGGCAGCGCUUCCUAGAUCAACUUCGCACCCGGAAUGAAACGUUCCGGGUGUUCAAAGAGGCCCGCCAGGAACCCACACGCCAGCCGAUGCAGGAACCGGCAGCCAAACGCCCCAGAACAGCAGGCGGUGGCCCCAGUACCUUUCGGCGCCAGCCCAUACCCUUUCCAGGGAGGCCCUUCCCGGGGGGCUUCCAGGGAAGGGCACCACCAGGCCCAAGAGGUCGAGGCAGAGUAUGACCUUAGGCCAUCAGUCUAACCAACCUCGUUACUAUGGCCAAUAAAUGUAGUUGUGCACACCCUCGUA